rnacentral:rRNA from 1 species
GACGAACGCUGGCGGCGUGCUUAACACAUGCAAGUCGAACGGAAAGGCCCUGCUUUUGUGGGGUGCUCGAGUGGCGAACGGGUGAGUAACACGUGAGUAACCUGCCCUUGACUGUGGGAUAACUUCAGGGAACUGGGGCUAAUACCGGGUAGGAGCUCCUGCUGCAUGGUGGGGGUUGGAAAGUUUCGGCUUUUGUGUAUGGACUCGCGGCGUAUCAGCUAGUUGGUGGGGUAGUGGCUUACCAAGGCUUUCACGGGUAGCCGGCCUGAGAGGGGGAUCGGCCACACGGGAACUGGGCCACGGUCCAGACUCCUACGGGAGGCCGCAGUAGGGAAUCUGACGCAAUGGGCGGGAGCCUGACGGAGCAACGCCGCGUGAGUGAUGGAGGUCUUCGGAUCGUAAAACUCUGUUAUUAGGGGAGAACAAAUGUGUCAGUAACUAUGCACGGCUUGACGGUACCUAAUCAGAAAGCCACGGCUAACUACGUG